AUCCCCUCCUGCCGUCCCACAGCGACAGAGAGAGAGAUUUCUAGACCGUCGGAAGAGGGUUUUGGUGGACGCCCGAAGACGACGGCCAGCGGUAAUGCAGAUCACCAGGAGACGACGGCAGCCGGCAUCCAGCGAAUGCGCAUGAUUGCAUCCAUGGCUCGGAAGUAGAAGCCAGAAGAAGAAGAAGAGAAGCAGCGAUCAUGUCUGGCUCGGCACAGGGAAGGACUAGUGAGGAGAAAAUGGGAGAGCCCCUGUGAGGAUCGGCGGAGGUGCAGAGAUGCUAUCGCUUCCAAUGGCAGAACAUGAAGUGACGCUGGAAUCAUGAACGAGAAGGAAAGGGUUAUAGCUCCCCAUGAUCAGACGCAUUCAGCUUGAAGAAAAUCAGCCAAGGACACCAUGGGUGGAGCAGGACAGGGAAAGAUCCGUGCAGGGAUAUCUGAUUCUCGCAUCACCUUUGCCUUCUGUUGCUCACAAGCAGGUCUACGAACUCCGUUCUUUUAUGUGUAAAGAUCAGGGUUGCUAGGGAUGUUUCGGCAUGGAAAUCUCGCAGGUGACUGGAACCCAUCAAUGGAAGUCACUCUGGUUUUUCUGUGGGUUUGUUCAACGCCAGCGAAGUUUCAGUAGUAACAUCUUAAGUUUUGUAGGAAAAAUCUGAGCUUGAACUCUCCUUAAAGUGCAGUGAAAUUCUUAUGAAGAAAGUUUUCAACUUUCAAAAACACAAAUACCCACAUGGAAAAUGGGUAACACUAUAGAAAAGCUCAAGCGGCAGCAUGACAGUGUUGGCACAUAAUGAAUUAAACCUUCUCCUACUAGAUUAUUACUAAAGCAUUCUCGCGCUAUUGAAUUCUUGGUCCUGUGAUCUAAACUCUAAAAUCGAUUGUUGGUGCAAGGACUUCUCGGUGGAGUUAAACAAGUCUGAAUUAAUAUACUCUCUUGAACGAGUUUAAAAGGAAAACGGUCUGAAAGCUCCUGGAAGUGGUGGUAGAAACCUUUGCUAA